UUUAUUCCAUGUAGUGUGAACAUUUGAUGCAGAAAUGUUGAUGCGUUUGACUAUUGAGUACUGCCCAGACCCCACUAGGGUUUUACGUAAUAUGGGUAAUAUGCUCUAUAUUAUCUUUCUAAAGUCCAAAAAGUUCAAGAUUUUGAAACACACCUGGUCCCCAGGGUUUGUUCACAGAUCCCACUUACCUCCAAGACAAGUGAGAAUGUAUGCUCAGCAGGCUGCCCGGUGCUGGCCUCAGCAUGGGAUGCUCAGGUGUGAGCAAGUGGAAAGGGCUUUGAAGAAAGGAUACAGCUCUUUGUAUGGGUACAUUUGCCAGGGAGGGGAGCAGUGUGUAAAUGCUCCACUAGACUGGGGGAUGUGAAAUUGACAAAGAGGGAGAGAAGCCCUUAGGAAAGGCAUCCUCCUGAGUGAAAUGGUAAUUCACUUUGAGAUGGUGCUAAUAAUUAAAACAUUUUUUAUGGCAUUUUAAGAAACAUCUAUUAGGCCCACAUGUGAAGCUACUCACAACUCCUUGUAACAUACAUUUCAGAAAUGUUGCUGUCCCUUGAUCUGCCUUUCUUAUCUUCAUCAGGUGGGUCCCCCAUCCCUAGCCCUGCUUAUGGCCUCCUCAGGAGGGCCAGCGAGGACGAUGGCUGAGGUGGGAGGGCAGGGAGCCAGGAGGAUCACUAUAAAUAGAGUCCACCUUCUCCAUUCUUCUCACUGAGCCACUUCUGAGCUUUCCAAAACAACUGCAGCAGCAGCAGCUGCCGCUUCAGCAGCCACAGAAGUGUUGGUGUCACCAGGACACAGCCUCAGAGCUUCAUUCUAAAAGGAAAUGUCUCACAUGGAUCUUAUGCAGAGAAGCCUGAGCGACUUGCACUUUCAACAAUGGUUUUGUCAUAGAUGUAAAGGUCUGUUUCCAUGGUUACCCAAAUUCCAGGCACUGGCCCCAGGCCCACCACAACGCAUCCCUCAAAGUCUCUUUGGCAGAGGAAAAGCAUUUCUCCUUGCUGCGGCAAGUCAGAGCCAGAAUCUCGGGUUCUCCUGCUCCAAAGCCCCCACUACACCCUCAUUCGCGUGUGAUUCAUGCGUUUAGGUGGUUCUGCUCAGCGUCGUUUUUUGAGUUGGGGAGCGGUGAGUAAGCACAAUAUAAGUUUCCUUCAUUUCUCUUCUCCUUGUUUGAGCUAAGGAAUUACUUUCUUGUACCAAACAUUACACCCUUGGAAAACACUCCAGAUGGUUCUCAUUAAAAUUCCAAUUCCUUUUUUUGCAAUUCAUUUUUCCCCAUUCUCCUCAAACUACUAUCUCAAAAAUAAACACCAGGCUGAGGAGCAAGUGAGGGGUCUGUGAAUAGCAGCUCCAGUGAAUGGAAUCUUUCAGAGACCCCUGGUGUGGCCCUGAAGGCGCCUGCAGCUUCUCUUCUUGCCAAGGGUCACCUGGCCCUUCAUAGGGAGGCCAGGGGUAGCAGCCCUGUGGCAUCCUCACCAGGGAGAGUCCAAACACACAUGGGGGGCAUGUGCAUAGGGAUGCACAUGAACACAUAGGGAUGCCGAGUGCAGCAGCCCCAUGCACUGUCACCAGGGAGCGUCCAAACACACGUGGGGGGCAUGUUCGAUGGCAAAGGUGCCCUAAGGGGGCCAUGGGCUCUGCUGCCUCUGCAGGAAGAGGGGCAGAAGGCCAGCUAGGCCUCUGUUCCCCAACAGGCUGGGCCCAGACCAUGCUUUGCAGAGGGGCUGUCCACCUUCUUUAGUAUACAGCGAGGCCUCUGCAGAUUUCUAAAGACACUGGCCACAGGAGCGAGGUGAUGCUUACUCUAAGAAGCGGACAAGGAGAGACUGCCAAUGCCUUUUGGCCAUAAUUGCAGCUGAGCAAGUCACAGGCUUUGCUCCCACAUCUGGAAAAAUCUGCAUGCACAGGAAAAGUAUGUGUGUGUCCAGUGAUGUGUAUUUGAUAUGUUUUUAUUUUCAACUUUAUGUUAUGAAAAAAUUUAAAAAUACAGAAAAGUUGUAAGAAUGGUACAAUGAACAGCCAUAUCACUCCACCUAGAUCCAACGAAUGUUACAUUUUGUCAUAUUUCCUUUCCCUCUCUCUCUUUCCAGAUACACAGAGAGAUAAAUACAUAUCCUUUGCUUAGACAUUUGAAAGUUAGGAUCUUGUCCCUAUAGCAUUUUAUAACCUAGUAAUCUAUGCAUUAAUGCAAUCAUAUACUGCAGUCAUGCACUGCAUGACAAUGUUUUGGUAAAUGAUAGACUGCAUAUACAAUGGUGAUCCCAUAAGAUUAUAAUACCAGGCCAGGUGUGGUGGCUCAAGCCUGUAAUCCCAGCACUUUGGGAGGCCAAGGUGGGCUGAUCACCUGAGGUCAGGAGUUUGAGACCAGCCUGGCCAACAUGGUGAAACGCUGUGUCAACUAAAAAAAAAUACAAAAAUCUAUUUUGCGCCUGUAAUCCCAGCUGGUUGGGAGGUCGAGGCACAAGAAUCGCUUGAACCCGGGAGGUGGAGAUUGUAAUGAGCUGAGAUAGCACUGAGCUGAGAUUGUACCACUGCACUCCAGCCUGGGUGACAGAGUGAGACUAAGUCUCCAAAAAAAAAAAAUUAUAAUACCAUAUUUUUACUGUACCUUUUUAUGUUUAGAUAUAUUUAGGUACACAAGUAAUUACCAUUGUGCUACAAUUGCCUACAGUAUUCAGUACAGUAACAUGCCAUGCAGGUUUGUAGCCUGGGAGUAAGAGGCUAUCCCAUAGAGCCUAGGUGUGUAGUAGGCUCUAGCACCUGGGUUUAUAUAACUGUGCUGUGUGAUGUUUGCACAACAACAAAAUCACCUAAUAAUGCAAAUACAUUUCUCAGAGCAUAUCCCUGUGAUUAAGUGACACAUGACUGUAUAUGAAUAUAUUCUUAUUGUAAAAUAUUCAAACAUCCGAAUAGUACAGACACAUAGAGUAUAAGCAAAACCCAGGCAUGAGCCCCUCCUCAUCUCACCUUCCCCACUCCCCAGGGUUGCUUGGCUUGUG
rnacentral:lncRNA from 1 species